UACAGAGGUCCCGAGCGUUGUUCGGAUUCACUGGGCGUAAAGGGUGCGUAGGUGGCAUGUUAAGUUUGAUGUGAAAGCUCAGGGCUUAACCCUGAAAUGGCAUUGAAUACUAGCGUGCUGGAGGAUUGGAGGGGGGACUGGAAUUCUUGGUGUAGCAGUGAAAUGCGUAGAUAUCAAGAGGAACACCAGUGGCGAAGGCGAGUCCCUGGACAACACCUGACACUGAGGCACGAAAGCUAGGGGAGCAAACAGG
rnacentral:rRNA from 1 species